rnacentral:rRNA from 1 species
UAGGGAAUCUUCGGCAAUGGACGAAAGUCUGACCGAGCAACGCCGCGUGAGUGAAGAAGGUUUUCGGAUCGUAAGACUCUGUUGUUAGAGAAGAACAAGGACGUUAGUAACUGAACGUCCCCUGACGGUAUCUAACCAGAAAGCCACGGCUAACUACGUGCCAGCAGCCGCGGUAAUACGUAGGUGGCAAGCGUUGUCCGGAUUUAUUGGGCGUAAAGCGAGCGCAGGCGGUUUCUUAAGUCUGAUGUGAAAGCCCCCGGCUCAACCGGGGAGGGUCAUUGGAAACUGGGAGACUUGAGUGCAGAAGAGGAGAGUGGAAUUCCAUGUGUAGCGGUGAAAUGCGUAGAUAUAUGGAGGAACACCAGUGGCGAAGGCGGCUCCCUGGUCUGUAACUGACGCUGAGGCUCGAAAGCGUGGGGAGCAAACAGG